rnacentral:rRNA from 1 species
ACAAACGCUGGCGGCGUGCUUAACACAUGCCAGUCGAACGGAAAGGCCCUGCUUUUGUUGGGUUCUCGAGUGGCGAACGGGUGAGUAACACGUGAGUAACCUUCCCUUGACUUUGGGAUAACUUCAGGAAACUGGGGCUAAUACCGGAUAGGAGCUCCUGCUUCCUGGUUGGGGUUGGAAAGUUUCGGCGGUUGGGGAUGGACUCGCGGCUUAUCAGCUUGUUGGUGGGGUAGUGGCUUACCAAGGCUUUGACGGGUAGCCGGCCUGAGAGGGUGACCGGCCACAUUGGGACUGAGAUACGGCCCAGACUCCUACGGGAGGCAGCAGUGGGGAAUAUUGCACAAUGGGCGGAAGCCUGAUGCAGCAACGCCGCGUGCGGGAUGACGGCCUUCGGGUUGUAAACCGCUUUCGCCUGUGACGAAGCGUGAGUGACGGUAAUGGGUAAAGAAGCACCGGCUAACUACGUG